rnacentral:rRNA from 1 species
GACGAACUGCCCAAACGUUGUUCGGAAUCACUGGGCUUAAAGGGCGCGUAGGCGGGCGGACAAGUCAGGGGUGAAAUCCGGCAGCUCAACUGUCGAAGUGCCUUUGAUACUGUCUGUCUUGAGGGAGGUAGGGGUUUGUGGAACUUCUGGUGGAGCGGUGAAAUGCGUUGAUAUCAGAAGGAACGCCGGUGGCGAAAGCGACGAACUGGACCUCUUCUGACGCUGAGGAGCGAAAGCGUGGGGAGCGAACAGG